rnacentral:rRNA from 1 species
GUGGAUUAGAUACCCUGGUAGUCCACGCCGUAAACGAUGGGUGCUAGGUGUGGGAGGUGUCGACUCCUUCCGUGCCGAAGCUAACGCAUUAAGCACCCCGCCUGGGGAGUACGGCCGCAAGGCUAAAACUCAAAGGAAUUGACGGGGACCCGCACAAGCAGCGGAGCAUGUGGUUUAAUUCGACGCAACGCGAAGAACCUUACCUAGGCUUGACAUGUUGGAGAACGCCCUGGAAACAGGGAACUCUUUGGACACUCCAUCACAGGUGGUGCACGGUUGUCGACAACU